rnacentral:rRNA from 1 species
CUGACCGAGCGACGCCGCGUGUGCGACGAAGGCCUUCGGGUUGUAAAGCACUGUCGAGGGGGAGAAAAGCCGCAAGGCGUGAUCUAUCCCUGGAGGAAGCACGGGCUAAGUUCGUGCCAGCAGCCGCGGUAAGACGAACCGUGCGAACGUUGUUCGGAAUCACUGGGCUUAAAGGGCGCGUAGGCGGGCUGCCGCGUCCGGGGUGAAAUCCCACGGCUCAACCGUGGAACGGCCUCGGAUACGGGCGGCCUCGAGGGGGGUAGGGGCAUCUGGAACUGUGAGUGGAGCGGUGAAAUGCGUUGAUAUUCACAGGAACUCCGGUGGCGAAGGCGAGGUGCUGGACCCCUUCUGACGCUGAGGCGCGAAAGCCAGGGGAGCGAACGGGAUUAGAUACCCC